rnacentral:rRNA from 1 species
AGCAUAUCAAUAAGCGGAGGAAAAGAAACCAACAGGGAUUGCCUCAGUAACGGCGAGUGAAGCGGCAACAGCUCAAAUUUGAAAUCUGGCUCUUUCAGGGUCCGAGUUGUAAUUUGUAGAAGAUGCUUCGGGUGUGGCUCCGGUCUAAGUUCCUUGGAACAGGACGUCAUAGAGGGUGAGAAUCCCGUAUGUGACUGGCUGCCUCCCCCAUGUGAAGCUCUUUCGACGAGUCGAGUUGUUUGGGAAUGCAGCUCAAAAUGGGUGGUAAAUUUCAUCUAAAGCUAAAUAUUGGCCAGAGACCGAUAGCGCACAAGUAGAGUGAUCGAAAGAUGAAAAGCACUUUGGAAAGAGAGUUAAACAGUACGUGAAAUUGUUGAAAGGGAAGCGCUUGCAAUCAGACUUGCGCGCGGUCGAUCAUCCGAUGUUCUCACCGGUGCACUCGACCGUGCUCAGGCCAGCAUCGGUUUCGGUGGUUGGAUAAAGGCCUUGGGAAUGUGGCUCUCUUCGGGGAGUGUUAUAGCCCUCGGUGCAAUGCAGCCUACUGGGACCGAGGACCGCGCUUCGGCUAGGAUGCUGGCGUAAUGGUUGUAAGCGACCCGUCUUGAAACACGGACCAAGGAGUCUAACAUCUAUGCGAGUGUUUGGGUGUCAAACCCAUACGCGUAAUGAAAGUGAACGGAGGUGAGAACCCUUAAGGGUGCAUCAUCGACCGAUCCUGAUGUCUUCGGAUGGAUUUGAGUAAGAGCAUAGCUGUUGGGACCCGAAAGAUGGUGAACUAUGCCUGAAUAGGGUGAAGCCAGAGGAAACUCUGGUGGAGGCUCGCAGCGGUUCUGACGUGCAAAUCGAUCGUCAAAUUUGGGUAUAGGGGCGAAAGACUAAUCGAACCAUCUAGUAGCUGGUUCCUGCCGAAGUUCCC